rnacentral:rRNA from 1 species
UACGGAGGGUGCGAGCGUUGUCCGGAAUCAUUGGGCGUAAAGGGCGCGUAGGUGGCCCGGUCAGUUCGUGGUGAAAGCGCGGGGCUCAACCCUGCGUCGGCCAUGAAUACUGCCGCGGCUGGAGCACUGUAGAGGCAGGCGGAAUUCCGGGUGUAGCGGUGGAAUGCGUAGAGAUCCGGAAGAACACCGGUGGCGAAGGCGGCCUGCUGGGCAGUUGCUGACGCUGAGACGCGAAAGCGUGGGGAGCGAACCGG